GGCCCGGCCCGGCGGGCAGCGGCGGUCGAGGGCGGCCCUCACCGGCCUGGCCCGGCUGCGGGGAGAGCCGCGAGGACGGGAGGCAGUCGAGCUCGGGGAGGGCUUGGGAAAAGAGCUGUCGUGAGCCCGCUGGGAAGGGCGGCCUGGGCCUGGAGAGAGAGAUGGGAAGACAGGCAGUGCCUCCCCCCACUGGAACAUUGUGUGCCCUUUGAUUCAGCUGGCACCCCUCCUGCCCUCAGCACAGGGUUCUGCUGUAUGAUUAGCCAGGCUUUGUGGAUCCCGCUUUUCAGUGUCUAAAUCUGUAACUUCGAGCCCAGCUCAGAGCUGCAGAUCAUCCCACAAACUGGCAAGCUUUCCUCCAUUGAAGGAUGACCGAAUCAUGAACCAGGUUUUCAAUGCAAGGAAAUUAACAAAAAGGAUACCACUGAUUUUCAGUGAAUUUUACCAACUGUUCUCAAUGAAUUUUCUAUACCUUGAGAAACACCAAAA